GUGUCAGCCGCCGCGGUAAUACAGAGGGUGCGAGCGUUAAUCGGAAUUACUGGGCGUAAAGCGCGCGUAGGCGGUUUGUUAAGUCGGAUGUGAAAUCCCCGGGCUCAACCUGGGAAUUGCAUUCGAUACUGGCAAGCUAGAGUAUGGGAGAGGAAGGUAGAAUUCCAGGUGUAGCGGUGAAAUGCGUAGAGAUCUGGAGGAAUACCGAUGGCGAAGGCAGCCUUCUGGCCUAAUACUGACGCUGAGGUGCGAAAGCAUGGGGAGCAAACAGGAUUAGAAACCCUAGUAGUCC
rnacentral:rRNA from 1 species